UUUCCACAGAAAAUAUACUAAAAUUAGAAUGACAGCAGACUAGCAUGGUCCCUAUGUAAGGCUGAUACACACAUUCAAGAAGUACUCCAUAUUUUU
rnacentral:snRNA from 1 species